CAUUUCUUACUGAAAAUAUUUGUAAGUACCACCUGCUCAAUGAAUAUUUAAAUAGCCGCGGAAAUUUAACCGUGCUAAGGUAGCAUAAUCAUUAGCCUCUUAAUUAGAGGCUAGUAUGAAUGGUGAAACAUUUCAAUUACUUUUUUAAUUAAUAUUUUUAAAUUUAAAUUAAGAAUAAAAAUGUUCUUAUAAAUAAAAUAGACGAUAAGACCCUUUUGAACUUUACUUUAGUUUAGCUGGGGCAGCUAAAUAAAAAUAAUCUUAUUUUUACUUUUUACUUAAAUGACCCAAUAUAAUUGAUUAAAUGACCAAGUUACCAUAGGGAUAACAGCGUAAUAUCUUUUUAAAGCUCUUAUUAAAAAAGAAGAUUGCGACCUCGAUGUUGAAUUAGUGUAACUUUACUGAUGCAGUAAUUUUAAAAGUAGGUCUGUUCGACCUUUAAAACAUUACAUGAU
rnacentral:rRNA from 1 species